rnacentral:rRNA from 1 species
CACAAGCGGUGGAGUAUGUGGUUUAAUUCGACGCAACGCGCAGACCUUACCUGGUCUUGACAUCCCGGGAAUUUCCUUGAAAGAGGGAAGUGCCUCGCAAGAGGAGCCUGGAGACAGGUGCUGCAUGGCUGUCGUCAGCUCGUGUCGUGAGAUGUUGGGUUAAGUCCCGCAACGAGCGCAACCCUUAUCAUUAGUUGCUACGCAAGGGCACUCUAAUGUGACUGCCGGUGACAAACCGGAGGAAGGUGGGGAUGACGUCAAGUCCUCAUGGCCCUUAUGGGUAGGGCUUCACACGUCAUACAAUGGUCGGUACAGAGGGUUGCCAAGCCGCGAGGUGGAGCCAAUCCCAGAAAGCCGAUCGUAGUCCGGAUUGUUCUCUGCAACUCGAGAGCAUGAAGUCGGAAUCGCUAGUAAUCGCGGAUCAGCAUGUCGCGGUGAAUACGUUCCCGGGUCUU